GUGCUAGCUUCAGUAGCACACAUACUAAAAUUAGGAUGAUGCAGAGAAGAUUAGCAUGGCCCCGGUGCAUGGAUGACAUAAAAAUUUGUGAAGCUCCGUAUAAAAAUUUUU